rnacentral:lncRNA from 1 species
AUCGGCCGAGGCCGACGACGCCCGCGACCGGCCAGCAGCGCCCGCAAGACGGCUGUGGCUGAGCCUGCGACCGCUUCCCGCGAUGGAUCCGCCGUCGAAGACCACAAGUAAAGCCCUUCCCCUUCCCUUCCUCUUCUUCUUCUUCUUUUCUUUUCUUUUCUUUCUUUUUUUUUUGUAAUUGAUCUAUCCUCCCAUGUGGAUUGGGAGGAGGAAAUGCAGGAAAGAAAACAGGUGGUCAGGGGCUUACCUGGCUUCGGGGAUGAACUCGACGCCCCUCUCCGGCGGCAUCAACGUGGGUUCAGAAAACCCUAUCGCUGAGGAAGGACGUUCGAAGCUUUUAUAGCCCCCAAAGAGUUAGAGGCCGCAACGGCCAAUAGGCCUGGCCCACUGGUCUAGC